UUAUUGUGCCGGAUGGCGGUUGCACCUUAUCCGGCCUACUUGAUGCUGUAGGCCCGGUAAGCGAAGCGCCACCGGGCAAAACAACGCACUAUCCCAACAAUUCCUGCUUAACAUCCAUCGCUAAAUCAAACGAAUGCAGGCGUGCUUGGUGGUCGAAAAUCUGCCCGUUGACCAUAAUUUCAUCCGCCUGGGUCUCCCGCAGGAUGGAUUCCAGCCCGUGGCGGACUUUCGCUUUAUCACCGACCAGCGACAUACUCAGCGCCUGCUGCACGCCAUACUGCUCGGAUGGCGACCAGAAGGUCUCCAUA
rnacentral:misc_RNA from 1 species